AAAAAAAAAAAAAAGACAAAUAAAAAUCAAUAAUGGGGCAAAAGCCUUUUUGAAAAAAUAAAAAUAAUAAUGGGACAAAAGACAACGUGGAAACUGAAAGAAAGUGAGGAAUUGGGCUCCACUCCACAACGUAAAUGAUAAUUGAUAGAAACUCUUCUGGUUGAGAUUAGUUAGCCAACCAUCCCCAACUCCUUCCCCAUUUCCUCCCGCCAAAUUAUACAAUCUUGUUGUCAAAAUUAGUAAUCUUAAGC
rnacentral:lncRNA from 1 species